rnacentral:rRNA from 1 species
AGCAGUAGCCGCGGGAAAACGAAGGGUGCAAGCGUUACUCGGAUUUACUGGGCGUAAAGCGUGCGUAGGUGGUGGUUUAAGUCCGUUGUGAAAGCCCUGGGCUCAACCUGGGAAUUGCAGUGGAUACUGGGUCACUAGAGUGUGGUAGAGGAUAGUGGAAUUUCCGGUGUAGCAGUGAAAUGCGUAGAGAUCGGAAGGAACAUCUGUGGCGAAGGCGACUAUCUGGGCCAACACUGACACUGAGGCACGAAAGCGUGGGGAGCAAACAGGAUUAGAUACCCCCGUAGUCCCUGUCUCUUAUAC